UGCCUGUUGACCAAUGUCUUACCAGACAAGGUUAGAUCUAGUUACUCUCGUCUAAUACUGUCUGGUAAUGCCGUUGGUCACAUUGGC
ensembl:miRNA xtr-mir-429 xtr-mir-429